rnacentral:rRNA from 1 species
GGCGUAAAGGGCGCGUAGGCGGACAGUUAAGUUAGAAGUGAAAGCCCAGGGCUCAACCUUGGAAUUGCCUUUGAUACUGGCUGUCUUGAGUACGGGAGAGGUGUGUGGAACUCCGAGUGUAGAGGUGAAAUUCGUAGAUAGUCGGAAGAACACCAGUGGCGAAGGCGACACACUGGCCCGUUACUGACGCUGAGGCGCGAAAGCGUGGGGAGCAAACAGG